rnacentral:rRNA from 1 species
CAUGCAGUCGAGCGGAGAGAGGUAGCUUGCUACUGAUCUUAGCGGCGGACGGGUGAGUAAUACUUAGGAAUCUGGCUAUUAGUGGGGGACAACAUUUCGAAAGGGAUGCUAAUACCGCAUACGUCCUACGGGAGAAAGCAGGGGAUCUUCGGACCUUGCGCUAAUAGAUGAGCCUAAGUCGGAUUAGCUAGUUGGUGGGGUAAAGGCCUACCAAGGCGACGAUCUGUAGCGGGUCUGAGAGGAUGAUCCGCCACACUGGGACUGAGACACGGCCCAGACUCCUACGGGAGGCAGCAGUGGGGAAUAUUGGACAAUGGGGGGAACCCUGAUCCAGCCAUGCCGCGUGUGUGAAGAAGGCCUUAUGGUUGUAAAGCACUUUAAGCGAGGAGGAGGGUACUGGUAUUAAUACUACCAGGUACUGGACGUUACUCGCAGAAUAAGCACCGGCUAACUCUGUGCCAGCAGCCGCGGUAAUACAGAGGGUGCGAGCGUUAAUCGGAUUUACUGGGCGUAAAGCGUGCGUAGGCGGCUAAUUGAGUCGGAUGUGAAAUCCCCGAGCUUAACUUGGGAAUUGCAUUCGAUACUGGUUAGCUAGAGUGUGGGAGAGGAUGGUAGAAUUCCAGGUGUAGCGGUGAAAUGCGUAGAGAUCUGGAGGAAUACCGAUGGCGAAGGCAGCCAUCUGGCCUAACACUGACGCUGAGGUACGAAAGCAUGGGGAGCAAACAGGAUUAGAUACCCUGGUAGUCCAUGCCGUAAACGAUGUCUACUAGCCGUUGGUCUCUUUGAGGGAUUAGUGGCGCAGCUAACGCGAUAAGU